rnacentral:rRNA from 1 species
AACGAACGCUGGCGGCAUGCCUAACACAUGCAAGUCGAACGAAACGUCCCGGCCUAGGUGCGCACGGGUGCUUAAGGAGUGGGAAGCAGCCCGUAGGUUCGGAAUAACUCACCGUGGGGUGUGUUAAGACAGGUGAAUGUCUUCGCACCAAAGAGUUAUCGCCUUUGGAUGGGCGCGGGUUGGAUUAGCCAGUUGGUAGGGUAAAAGCCUAGCAAGGGGAGGAUGGUGAGCUGGUCUGAGAGGAUGAUCCGCCAGACUGGGACUGAGACACGGCCCAGACUGGUACGGGAGGGAGCAGUGGGGAACAUUGGAGAAGGGGCGAAGGCCUGAUCCAGCAACGCCGCGUGAGAGAUGAAGGCGUUAGGGUUGUAAAGCUCUUUUACACGGGAUGAUAAUGACAGUAACGGGAGAAUAAGCACCGGCUAACUCCGUG